AUUGAACGCUGGCGGCAGGCUUAACACAUGCAAGUCGAGCGGAGCGAGGGUGCUUGCACCUUAGCUUAGCGGCGGACGGGUGAGUAAUGCUUAGGAAUCUGCCUAUUAGUGGGGGACAACAUUCCGAAAGGAAUGCUAAUACCGCAUACGCCCUGCGGGGGAAAGCAGGGGAUCUUUGGACCUUGCGCUAAUAGAUGAGCCUAAGUCGGAUUAGCUAGUUGGUGGGGUAAAGGCCUACCAAGGCGACGAUCUGUAGCGGGUCUGAGAGGAUGAUCCGCCACACCGGGACUGAGACACGGCCCAGACUCCUACGGGAGGCAGCAGUGGGGAAUAUUGGACAAUGGGCGGAAGCCUGAUCCAGCCAUGCCGCGUGUGUGAAGAAGGCCUUUUGGUUGUAAAGCACUUUAAGCGAGGAGGGGGCUACUAGUACUAAUACUACUGGAUAGUGGACGUUACUCGCAGAAUAAGCACCGGCUAACUCUGUGCCAGCCGCCGCAGUAACAC
rnacentral:rRNA from 1 species